GGUUUARCGGGCGGACGGGUGAGUAACACGUGGGUAACCUGCCUGUAAGACUGGGAUAACUCCGGGAAACCGGAGCUAAUACCGGAUAGUUCCUUGAACCGCAUGGUUCAAGGAUGAAAGACGGUUUCGGCUGUCACUUACAGAUGGACCCGCGGCGCAUUAGCUAGUUGGUGAGGUAACGGCUCACCAAGGCGACGAUGCGUAGCCGACCUGAGAGGGUGAUCGGCCACACUGGGACUGAGACACGGCCCAGACUCCUACGGGAGGCAGCAGUAGGGAAUCUUCCGCAAUGGACGAAAGUCUGACGGAGCAACGCCGCGUGAGUGAUGAAGGUUUUCGGAUCGUAAAGCUCUGUUGUUAGGGAAGAACAAGUGCAAGAGUAACUGCUUGCACCUUGACGGUACCUAACCAGAAAGCCACGGCUAACUACGUGCCAGCAGCCGCGGUAAUACGUAGGUGGCAAGCGUUGUCCGGAAUUAUUGGGCGUAAAGGGCUCGCAGGCGGUUUCUUAAGUCUGAUGUGAAAGCCCCCGGCUCAACCGGGGAGGGUCAUUGGAAACUGGGAAAACUGAGUGCAGAAGAGGAGAGUGGAAUUCCACGUGUAGCGGUGAAAUGCGUAGAGAUGUGGAGGAACACCAGUGGCGAAGGGGACUCUCUGGUCUGUAACUGACGUGAGGAGSGAAAGCGUGGGGAGCGAACAGGAUUAGAUACCCUGGUAGUCCACGCCGUAAACGAUGAGUGCUAAGUGUUAGGGGGUUUCCCGCCCCUUAGUGCUGCAGCUAACGCAUUAAGCACUCCGCCUGGGGAGUACGGUCGCAAGACUGAAACUCAAAGGAAUUGACGGGGGCCCGCACAAGCGGUGGAGCAUGUGGUUUAAUUCGAAGCAACGCGAAGAACCUUACCAGGUCUUGACAUCCUCUGACAACCCUAGAGAUAGGGCUUUCCCUUCGGGGACAGAGUGACAGGUGGUGCAUGGUUGUCGUCAGCUCGUGUCGUGAGAUGUUGGGUUAAGUCCCGCAACGAGCGCAACCCUUGAUCUUAGUUGCCAGCAUUCAGUUGGGCACUCUAAGGUGACUGCCGGUGACAAACCGGAGGAAGGUGGGGAUGACGUCAAAUCAUCAUGCCCCUUAUGACCUGGGCUACACACGUGCUACAAUGGACAGAACAAAGGGCUGCGAGACCGCAAGGUUUAGCCAAUCCCACAAAUCUGUUCUCAGUUCGGAUCGCAGUCUGCAACUCGACUGCGUGAAGCGGAAUCGCUAGUAAUCGCGGAUCAGGCAUGCCGCGGUGAAUACGUUCCCCCGGGCCCUUGUUACACACCGCCCCGU
rnacentral:rRNA from 2 species